rnacentral:rRNA from 1 species
UGGGGAAUCUUGGACAAUGGGGGCAACCCUGAUCCAGCCAUGCCGCGUGAGUGAUGAAGGCCUUAGGGUCGUAAAGCUCUUUCGCCUGUGAAGAUAAUGACGGUAGCAGGUAAAGAAACCCCGGCUAACUCCGUGCCAGCAGCCGCGGUAAUACGGAGGGGGUUAGCGUUGUUCGGAAUUACUGGGCGUAAAGCGCACGUAGGCGGACCAGAAAGUUGGGGGUGAAAUCCCGGGGGCUCAACCCCGGAACUGCCUCCAAAACUAUUGGUCUAGAGUUCGAGAGAGGUGAGUGGAAUUCCAAGUGUAGAGGUGAAAUUCGUAGAUAUUUGGAGGAACACCAGUGGCGAAGGCGGCUCACUGGCUCGAUACUGACGCUGAGGUGCGAAAGUGUGGGGAGCAAAACAGGAUUAGAUACCCUGGUAGUCCACACCGUAAAACGAUGAAUGCCAGUCGUCGGGUAGCAUGCUAUUCGGUGACACACCUAACGGAUUAAGCAUUCCGGCCUGGGGAGUACGGUCGCAAGAUUAAAACUCAAAUGAAUUG